UACGUAGGGUGCGAGCGUUGCCCGGAUUUACUGGGCGUAAAGGGCGCGUAGGCGGCCAGCACAAGUCAGUUGUGAAAUCUCCGAGCUUAACUCGGAACGGUCAACUGAUACUGUGCGGCUAGAGUGCGGAAGGGGCAACUGGAAUUCUUGGUGUAGCGGUGAAAUGCGUAGAUAUCAAGAGGAACACCUGCGGCGAAGGCGGGUUGCUGGGCCGACACUGACGCUGAUGCGCGAAAGCCAGGGGAGCGAACGGG
rnacentral:rRNA from 1 species